rnacentral:antisense_RNA from 1 species
ACUGGUGUACUUGUUUGUGGAGCCUGCAGAACUGCCUUUUUCAAGAAUGUUCAUUUGAUGAGCUGACAUUAGGAGCUACAUAUGAAGUAACACGGACUUGUACUGGUAAGAAGAGACUACAGAUGAAAAGGAGUGGGAGAAUGAAGAAGGGAAUAGAAAGAAAGGUCUAAGCGAUAAAAGAAGUAGGAACUGGAGCAACCCUGUAGAAGAUCAGUGAAUAGGCUGAGAGUUGGUUUUGGAAAAGUGAAAAUAACCCAGAUGCAUAGGCUGCGUGUAAUCGACAGCAAAUAGAGACUGCCCGGCAGUGCAAGGUGGGGGAAGCUGGGCCACUUGAGGGCUGUUUUUAUCGGAUGCCAGGCUAUUUUCCAAGUGACCAGAAGAAGAAUUAGAAUAAAAGGGGGAACCCUGUGGCAGUGGCUUGUGUGGCACAACAGAGUAGGGUGAGUCCUUGAGAGCAGGGUGAGUCCUUGACAGCAGGGUGAGUCCUUGACAGCAGGGUGAGUCCUUGAGUAGGGUGAGUCUUUGAUAGAGUCCGGGCUGUCCUGACCCCAGCGGGAGCAGGGGAUUCUGGGUAGUUUUCGAAAAAUGGAGGCUCGCCCUCUAGUGGUGCCUGGAGAGAAU